ACUCAAAUGAAUAGACGGAGGUCCGUACAAACGGUGGAGCAUGUGGUUUAAUUCGAUAUAACGCGCAGAACCUUACCAAUCUUUGACGGUUAAAAAUUGAUAAAAUGAAAAUUUUAUUACAAUUUAAUUUAAGAUUUAUUUUUAAAUUAAAUUAUUUUAAGCAGGUGCUGCAUGGCUGUCGUCAGCUCGUGUCGUGAGAUGUUUGGUUUAGUCCUUUAACGAGCGAAAUCCUUGUUUUUAAUUAUAAAAUUAUUUUAGUGUAAUUUAAAUUAAAAAUACUGCCUGUGAAUAAUUGGAGGAAGGAAAGGAAGACGUCAAGUCUUCAUGGCCCUGAUAGAUUGGGCUACACACAUGCUACAAUGGUAAUUACAAUGGGAAGCAAUAAUGUGAAUUAAAGCAAAGCCUUAAAAAUUAUCUUAGUUCAGAUUGUUCUCUGCAAGUCGAGAAUAUGAAGUCGGAAUCGUUAGUAAUCGCAAAUCAGCAUGUUGCGGUGAAAUGUUUUCCGGACCUCGCACACACCGCCCGU
rnacentral:rRNA from 1 species